UAGUGGCGAACGGGUGAGUAACACGUGGGCAAUCUGCCCUUCACUCUGGGACAAGCCCUGGAAACGGGGUCUAAUACCGGAUAACACCUGCCUGGGCAUCUGGGUGGGUUAAAAGCUCCGGCGGUGAAGGAUGAGCCCGCGGCCUAUCAGCUUGUUGGUGAGGUAGUGGCUCACCAAGGCGACGACGGGUAGCCGGCCUGAGAGGGCGACCGGCCACACUGGGACUGAGACACGGCCCAGACUCCUACGGGAGGCAGCAGUGGGGAAUAUUGCACAAUGGGCGAAAGCCUGAUGCAGCGACGCCGCGUGAGGGAUGACGGCCUUCGGGUUGUAAACCUCUUUCAGCAGGGAAGAAGCGAGAGUGACGGUACCUGCAGAAGAAGCGCCGGCUAACUACGUGCCAGCAGCCGCGGUAAUACGUAGGGCGCAAGCGUUGUCCGGAAUUAUUGGGCGUAAAGAGCUCGUAGGCGGCUUGUCACGUCGGGUGUGAAAGCCCGGGGCUUAACCCCGGGUCUGCAUUCGAUACGGGCUAGCUAGAGUGUGGUAGGGGAGAUCGGAAUUCCU
rnacentral:rRNA from 4 species